AGAGUUUGAUCCUGGCUCAGAUUGAACGCUGGCGGCAUGCCUAACACAUGCAAGUCGAACGGCAGCACAGCAGUAGCAAUACUGUGGGUGGCGAGUGGCGGACGGGUGAGUAAUGCAUCGGGAUCUACCCAAACGUGGGGGAUAACGUAGGGAAACUUACGCUAAUACCGCAUACGUCUUACGAGAGAAAGCAGGGGACCUUCGGGCCUUGCGCGGUUGGACGAACCGAUGUGCGAUUAGCUAGUUGGUAGGGUAAUGGCCUACCAAGGCGACGAUCGCUAGCUGGUCUGAGAGGAUGAUCAGCCACACUGGAACUGAGACACGGUCCAGACUCCUACGGGAGGCAGCAGUGGGGAAUAUUGGACAAUGGGCGCAAGCCUGAUCCAGCAAUGCCGCGUGUGUGAAGAAGGCCUUCGGGUUGUAAAGCACUUUUAUCAGGAGCGAAAUACUACCGGCUAAUAUCCGGUGGGGCUGACGGUACCUGAGGAAUAAGCACCGGCUAACUUCGUGCCAGCAGCCGCGGUAAU
rnacentral:rRNA from 1 species